AUGAGCCAAAGCUUCUCUUGGAAGAAUUCUCUCAGCAUGAUCAUAAACUAGCAUUUUAUCAAGUAAAUCUAAAACAACAGGAUUAACAAGAUGUUGAUUUUCAGCAUUGAUAAAUUUGCUCCAUGGUUUUCUAGUAUGUCUGCCAAGUAAAUCAUCAAAAUAAGGUUCCAAUUGUUUUUUAUAUUUAGCAAGAUAUUCAAAUAAACCAUCAGUACCUAAAACCCUAGCAAUUUUAACAAGUUGAUCAUUGUUAUCAACUCCACAAAAGAAUGGGUCCCUCUUAAAAAUUAAUCCAGCUAAAACGCAUCCUAAACUCCAGAUAUCCAAAGAGUAAUCAUAAUAUUGAAAAUCAAUAAGUAAUUCUGGUCCUUUAUAGUAUCUGCUAGCAACUCUUACGUUAUAAUCUUGUCUAGGAUGAUAAAAUUCUGCUAAACCCCAAUCAAUUAAUCUUAAUUCUUUCUUUUUUGGAUCAAUAAUUACAUUAUGUGGUUUAACAUCACGGUGCAUAAUACCUUGUGAAUGAC
rnacentral:antisense_RNA from 1 species